rnacentral:hammerhead_ribozyme from 1 species
UGUCGAAACGCUCCCGGCCCUCCGGGGGUGUCAGUGGGAAAUGGCCUACCCACUCUGAUGAUGACAGGCCAAA